AUAGGCUCAAUAAAGCCCAAGGCUUUGAUUUUUUUUCUAUUCAGAUAAAUUUCCCAAGCUUGCAAAGCAGGUUGUCUGUGCCAAGCAAUCGAAGAACAGAAAAGGUGACACCAUUCAGAGGAAGGUUUUAUGUGCUGGGAAUGGGGAUCCAUUCCGCCGUUAUAGGGAAGAGAGGAGCUGCUGUUUCUGUCACGGGGAUGGAAAUGAUGCAUUCAUAUGGUUGCUGAGGCUGAAACUUAAAAAGGACGAUCAAAUUCAGAGCUGCAAUUUCAAAGGUGGGACUAGUAAUGGUGCCUACAUAUUCAUUACAGGGUUACGACAGAUUAGCUAGAUUCCCCUCCUUUUCUCUCGUGUUUUAAAGACAAGAAAGACAAGAAACAAGAUAUAUUUUACAUGUUAGCUGUCUUGUAUAUUCUGAUAGAGCCUGAAACUAGAUGUUCUAUUGUGGGAAA
rnacentral:misc_RNA from 1 species